AUACAACUCCCGGCAUGCCUUGCGCGGCCAGGAAGGAACAUGGUAGUUGCUGUUUCUAGUGCUGGAGCAGAGUGAGAGGGACAAUGAAGCUGAGUUCUUACAACUAACGUUACUGGAGAACCAUAUUUGGUAAAUACACUGGCAGCCAAAUCUAACACAAGGCAACAGGAAAUAGUAUUUUCAGGGCUGUGAACAAAGCAGGUUUUUUUCUAUCACUACCCGUGAUUCAGACUGAUGUGAUCUACUUAUAGGACUGGAGUUCAGCAGCAGCAGCAGCCAAUCUGCACUGUCUCCAUUCAAUAGAGCCGGCAGGCACUAAGACCUGCUACGGCUCUCAGAGCUGCUGCGGAUGCGAAGAAAUGCCACUGCCUUCGCUCGCUAAGCUGCAGUGUACCUGGAGUAAAGCUAAGGUGCACAGACUGUAGGAUAGGAGCUAAAAGGCUGCAAUCGCUUGCAACAGCCAACAGGAAGACAAUGUCACUGACCAGGAGAGACCCAAGGCAUGGCAAGCAGGACUUCCGGUAGAUGGGGCACCCAGUGUGGCCGCAUUUUGCAUGAUCUCCAGCCCUUGAUGAUCAAACCAGCUUUGUAUCUGGGUUUUCCCCUUUGCUGCUGGUUACAGUAACAUUAAAACUUCCACAAGGAUUUUGAACCUGCUCUUAGGUCUGGAGACCCCUUCUCUACACUGAAGUCGAGCUUUUAUAGUCACAGUGUUCAUGA